rnacentral:rRNA from 1 species
GACGGAGGGGGCUAGCGUUGUUCGGAAUGACUGGGCGUAAAGGGCGCGUAGGCGGUUUUUUAAGUGAGGCGUGAAAGCCCUGGGCUUAACCCAGGAGGUGCGUUUCAUACUGAAAAGCUUGAGUACGAGAGAGGAAAGCGGAAUUCCUAGUGUAGAGGUGAAAUUCGUAGAUAUUAGGAAGAACACCAGUGGCGAAGGCGGCUUUCUGGCUCGUAACUGACGCUGAGGCGCGAAAGCGUGGGGAGCAAACAGGAUUAGAAACCCUCGUAGUCC